CAGUGCAAGGACGGAGCGUCGUGUUGCAAGCGUCGUGCUGCAUGGCGGUGGCGGAACGCGCUCUCGGUUUCCGCCACCUGAGCGCGAACCCCGACAAGCUGCUGGUGACGGCGACCGAUGCGGCGAGCCUCGAGUACCACCUUCCCGACAGGUCUCCGCUGACCAUCGACAGCGCGGGUCCUCAGGGUGCACGUCGCCGGUUGCUUGUCCUUCGCGCUCGGACCAGAAGCCAAGGAAGAAGGAGUCAACUCGCCAUCUUCGCCAUCACGUGCUAAGAGUGCGCUCGGCAACGCCCCUUCUCAAGGCAGCAGAAGCAGCGAAGCACUGCGUUUCAAAGGCAACGUGACAUGGCUGGGAGCCGUGGUGGGCAGCGUGAUGCGCAAGCUGCGUUCCGAGUUGCCGGAGUCCCGUGCCCGUGCAGAACGCGGUCUCGUCGAGGAGCUGUCGAUGCUGCAGAGGCGCCUGCAGCAGUGCGACUCUGUGGGAGAGUUCUUCGACACGCUGAGCAUCUGAAGAUGGCGCCCCAUGAUCCUGUUUUCUUGCGUCAUCUUAGUGACGUCCUCGGACGUCGUCUUUAUGUUUGUUUCCUUACGUUAAAUAUUGAAUGCAGCCUGUCGUUGAUUUCAAGUGCAGCUUGCUUUCGAGCACGCAAUAAACGAGAGAGCUCUUGGUCAACUUCUUCACAAA